rnacentral:rRNA from 1 species
CCUACGGGGAGCAGCAGUCGAGAAUCAUUCACAAUGGGGGAAACCCUGAUGGUGCGACGCCGCGUGGGGGAAUGAAGGUCUUCGGAUUGUAAACCCCUGUCAUGUGGGAGCAAAUUAAAAAGAUAGUACCACAAGAGGAAGAGACGGCUAACUCUGUGCCAGCAGCCGCGGUAAUACAGAGGUCUCAAGCGUUGUUCGGAAUCACUGGGCGUAAAGCGUGCGUAGGCUGUUUCGUAAGUCGUGUGUGAAAGGCGCGGGCUCAACCCGCGGACGGCACAUGAUACUGCGAGACUAGAGUAAUGGAGGGGGAACCGGAAUUCUCGGUGUAGCAGGGAAAUGCGGAGAUAUCGAGAGGAACACUCGUGGCGAAGGCGGGUUCCUGGACAUUAACUGACGCUGAGGCACGAAGGCCAGGGGAGCGAAAGGGAUUAGAUACCCGGGUAGUC